CCUAAAUUUCAACAGAGUUACUAUUAUUAUACCAACAUAAGACAGAGGCCUACUGAUAAAACUCUUGGUACACCAGAUCAAGCAAUGAAAACCAAAGAGGAACAUAAAUCUAAUACACAACACCUAAACACUCAUAAAUAAAAUUAGAAGCAAAAUGGACAGACAAUAAAUGAAGGUGUUCAUCACCCAGCAUUUUAAUUGGACAAUGCUUAUGCCAUGUAGAUUGGAAAUUGCCAGAUAAUUUCAAAGAUAGGAGAGCUGACCUGCCAGUGUAGUUCUCGUUGAUCCUUGGAAAAUCAACAGCAGACUCCGAUAAUUUCUUCUGUGAAGCUGCACCACUCUUCAUGUUAAAUCUCAUUUCAUAUCUGUAAAAACAAAAUCCUGAUCAAGAACUGUGGCAGAUAUAAACAAGGUCAAUUUGAACAAUCAUUGUCAGAGUCUCCUAACAGCUCAUUGCAGAAAUUCUCAAGCUUUUCUUUAACAGCUCCAUUGACCAUGUCUAGGUCUGGGUUCAUAAGGCGGCAGGUAAUCAACACGACUUCAUCUCCCUCCUCCCAAGCAUUGGC